rnacentral:tRNA from 1 species
CAGAGAGUGGUUUAAUUUAAAAAUAUUAGUUUUGGAUAUUGAUGAUAGGAGAUUCCUUUCUCUGA